UACGUAGGGGGCAAGCGUUGUCCGGAAUUAUUGGGCGUAAAGAGCGCGUAGGCGGUCCGGUAAGUCGGUUGUGAAAGUCGGGGGCUCAACCCUCGGAUGCCGAUCGAUACUGUCGGGCUAGAGUCCGGAAGAGGCGAGUGGAAUUCCUGGUGUAGCGGUGAAAUGCGUAGAUAUCAAGAGGAACACCUGAGGCGAAGGCGGGUUGCUGGGCUGACACUGACGCUGAGGCGCGAAAGCCAGGGGAGCGAACGGG
rnacentral:rRNA from 1 species